GAUGAACGCUGGCGGCGUGCCUAACACAUGCAAGUCGAGCGGAAAGACGAGGAGGUUGCUACUCUGACGGUAGACGCGGGCGGGUGAGGAACACGACGAUAACCUACCUAUAGGACUGCGUUAACUUAGGGAAACCGAAACUAAUACGGGAUAAUAUAUUGAACGGCGGGGUUCAAUAGUUACAGACGGUUUUGUUGUCACUUAGAGAAGGAUCCGCGCCGUAUUAUCUUGGUGGUAAGGUAACGGCUUACCAAGGCGACGAUGGGUAGCCGACGCGAGCGCGUGAACGGCCACACUGGAACUGAGCCACGGUCUAGACUCCUACGGGAGGCAGCAGUAGCGAAUCUUGGGCAAUGGGCGAAAGCUUGACGGAGCAACGCCGCGUGAGUGAUGAAGGUCUUCGGAUCGUAAAACUGUGUUAGGAGGGAAGAACGCAUGCGUAAGUAGCUAUGCUUGUGGUGACGGUACCUGAAGAGGAAGCACCGGCUAACUACGUG
rnacentral:rRNA from 1 species